UGAUAAUGAUGAAAUCCAAACCAGUCAGUUCUGCUACUGAUCCUUAUGAUUGAUAAACUUUUGCUUACCACAUCCUUUUCUGAUCA
rfam:Zancudomyces culisetae strain COL-18-3 scaffold-1143, whole genome shotgun sequence.